rnacentral:rRNA from 1 species
CCUACGGGUGGCUGCAGUGGGGAAUAUUGGACAAUGGGGGGAACCCUGAUCCAGCCAUGCCGCGUGUGUGAAGAAGGCCCUCGGGUUGUAAAGCACUUUCAGUGAGGAAGAACGCCUGGUGGUUAAUACCCAUCAGGAAAGACAUCACUCACAGAAGAAGCACCGGCUAACUCCGUGCCAGCAGCCGCGGUAAUACGGAGGGUGCGAGCGUUAAUCGGAAUUACUGGGCGUAAAGCGCGCGUAGGUGGCUUGAUAAGCCGGUUGUGAAAGCCCCGGGCUCAACCUGGGAACGGCAUCCGGAACUGUCAAGCUAGAGUGCAGGAGAGGAAGGUAGAAUUCCCGGUGUAGCGGUGAAAUGCGUAGAGAUCGGGAGGAAUACCAGUGGCGAAGGCGGCCUUCUGGACUGACCCUGACACUGAGGUGCGAAAGCGUGGGUAGCAAGCAGGAUUAGAGACCCUAGUAGUC